CCUACGGGAGGCAGCAGUGAGGAAUAUUGGUCAAUGGGCGAGAGCCUGAACCAGCCAAGUCGCGUGAAGGAUGACUGUCUUAUGGAUUGUAAACUUCUUUUGUAGGGGAAUAACGGACGGUACGUGUACCGUAGUGAAUGUACCCUACGAAUAAGCAUCGGCUAACUCCGUGCCAGCAGCCGCGGUAAUACGGAGGAUGCGAGCGUUAUCCGGAUUUAUUGGGUUUAAAGGGUGCGUAGGCGGCCUGUUAAGUCAGCGGUGAAAUCUAGGAGCUUAACUCCUAAAUUGCCAUUGAUACUGGCGGGCUUGAGUGUAGAUGAGGUAGGCGGAAUGCGUGGUGUAGCGGUGGAAUGCAUAGAUAUCACGCAGAACUCCAAUUGCGAAGGCAGCUUACUAAGGUACAACUGACGCUGAAGCACGAAAGCGUGGGUAUCAAACAGGAUUAGAUACCCUGGUAGUCCACGCAGUAAACGAUGAUAACUGGGCGUAUGCGAUAUACAGUAUGCUCCUAAGCGAAAGCGUUAAGUUAUCCACCUGGGGAGUACGCCGGCAACGGUGAAACUCAAAGGAAUUGACGG
rnacentral:rRNA from 1 species